UUGUCUCAAAGAUUAAGCCAUGCAUGUCUAAGUACAAGCCUCACUAAGGUGAAACCGCGAAUGGCUCAUUAAAUCACACCUAAUCUACUGGAUAGUCAACAGUUACUUGGGUAACUGCGGUAAUUCUGGAGCUAAUACAUGCACAAAGCCCCGAACUUACGUGAGGGGUGCUUUUAUUAGAUCAAAACCAAACGGCUUCGGCUGUUCUCUUGGUGACUCUGAAUAACUUUGGGCUGAUCGCAUAGCCUAGCGCUGGCGACAUAUCCUUCGAAGGUGUGCCCUAUCAACUGUCGACUGUGGCAUAGACGCCCACAGUGGUUUUGACGGGUAACGGGGAAUCAGGGUUCGAUUCCGGAGAGGGAGCCUUAAAAACGGCUACCACAUCUAAGGAAGGCAGCAGGCACGCAAAUUACCCAAUGCCCGAAGGGCGAGGUAGUGACGAAAAAUAACGAUACGGGACUCAUCCGAGGCCCCGUAAUCGGAAUGAUUACACUUUAAAACCGUCCCAGAGGACCCAUUGGAGGGCAAGUCUGGUGCCAGCAGCCGCGGUAAUUCCAGCUCCAAUAGCGUAUAUUAAAGUUGUUGUGGUUAAAAAGCUCGUAGUUGGAUCUCGGCAGUCCGAGGGCGGUUCGCUUGCUAGUGUUACUGCCUUAUGGACUGUAGUUUUGCCAGAGGGCUCUGGGUGCUCUUAACCGAGUGUCCAGUGUUGCUGGCAGGUUUACUUUGAAAAAAUUAGAGUGCUCAAAGCAGGCUUUCACGCCUGAAUAUUCGUGCAUGGAAUAAUAGAAUAGGAAGUCGUUUCUAUUUUGUUGGUUUUCGGAAAUCGACUUAAUGAUUAAUAGGGACAGUCGGGGGCAUUUGUAUUCAAACGACAGAGGUGAAAUUCUUGGACCGUUUGAAGACAAACUACUGCGAAAGCAUUUGCCAAGAAUGUUUUCAUUAAUCAAGAACGAAAGUUAGAGGUUCGAAGGCGAUUAGAUACCGCCCUAGUUCUAACCAUAAACGAUGCCAGCUAGCGAUCUGCCGACGUUUUUUUUGUAGACUCGGCAGGAAGCUUCCGGGAAACCAAAGCAUUUGGGUUCCAGGGGAAGUAUGGUUGCAAAGCUGAAACUUAAAGGAAUUGACGGAAGGGCACCACCAGGAGUGGAGCCUGUGGCUUAAUUUGACUCAACACGGGAAAUCUCACCAGGCCCGGACACUGGAAGGAUUGACAGAUUGAUAGCUCUUUCUUGAUUCGGUGGGUGGUGGUGCAUGGCCGUUCUUAGUUGGUGGAGUGAUUUGUCUGGUUAAUUCCGAUAACGAACGAGACUCUGUCCUGCUAAAUAGUGUCGGCCUCUGUUUUGGGCAGACAAUUCUUCUUAGAGGGACUGGCAACUCUUAGUUGUACGAGAUUGAGCAAUAACAGGUCUGUGAUGCCCUUAGAUGUUCUGGGCCGCACACGCGCUACACUGAAUAGAUCAACGUGUUGUCCCUCUGCGAGAGCAUCGGGUAAACCGCUGAACCCUAUUCGUGGUAGGGAUCGGGGCUUGCAAUUGUUCCCCGUAAACCAGGAAUUCCCAGUAGGCGCAAGUCAUAAGCUUGUGUCGAUUACGUCCCUGCCCUUUGUACACACCGCCCGUCGCUACUACCGAUUGAACGUUUUAGUGAGGUCCUCGGACUGUUUGGUUGGCGGA
rnacentral:rRNA from 1 species